UAGGAGUCAUCCACACGAGCCUACGAAUCUCGAUCAGAAGUCCUGUUUCAGGAAAUCAGCACAGUAUGCUAGUACUGCGCUGAUCCUUCUUUGAUGGUUGAUCAGGUGCCUCCUUCUUCUUGAUUUGGACUCUUCCAAAGAUGGAAAGUAGAAGGAGGAGUUUUAGAUCUGAGACACUUUCAGAAAAUUCAAUAUGGAGGGAGGAAAGAUAUGAAAACAAACAACCCUAGAAGA
rnacentral:lncRNA from 1 species